rnacentral:rRNA from 1 species
UACGUAGGUCCCGAGCGUUGUCCGGAUUUAUUGGGCGUAAAGCGAGCGCAGGCGGUUUCUUAAGUCUGGAGUAAAAGGCAGUGGCUCAACCAUUGUACGCUCUGGAAACUGGGGAACUUGAGUGCAGAAGGGGAGAGUGGAAUUCCAUGUGUAGCGGUGAAAUGCGUAGAUAUAUGGAGGAACACUGGUGGCGAAAGCGGCUCUCUGGUCUGUAACUGACGCUGAGGCUCGAAAGCGUGGGGAGCGAACA